ensembl:processed_transcript Gm15941 predicted gene 15941
UGGUUGGAUUGAGGCAAGAGAAGAAAGGGAAGCAUCGCUUCUCUGCCCACAAGGCAGGCAAGUCUCCAUUCGCGCACUUGAGAGCUUCCUUCAGUUCAGCACUGUGCUGGACCCGGUUGCAUGCAAACCACUUGUACUGUGGAGUGCACAGUCUCAUGAAGGCCCAUCCAUCUGUAACCAUGGAGGAAGUCUGCAAGCACUGGUGUAGCAGUUCAAGGCACGGCAGGCGCACGCACCAAGUGAGAGACAACUGAGAGAAACAGAUGCUGUGGUGCAGGGAUCAUACUAGAAGCACAAAAGAGGACCAAGGAGAGGACCGUGCCAAGGAGAAUCCAGAAAGGACAUUGGGUACUGUGGCUUGGUCUCGGGCAGCCAGCUUUCACGUACCACUCGGCGGACAUUGGUGUGUGUGUCGGCUGCAAUGGUACUCAGCUCACUGUCCCUGAAGUUGGGGUGGUGUUCUGGCAAUAGAACUUGGCAGAGCCGAGGACACGACUGUACAGUGGUUUGUAUCUGGGGCCAUUGGUGGAAGAACAGGUGGCAGUGCCACAGCUAUUGGCCAGUGUGUGACAGUUAAAGAAGGAAGCCAGGAGCUACUGCAGCAAGACCUUGUGCGGUAUGCCUGCACUGAUGUGAUGGUUCAUGUAUACAUCGGUGCCUGUCAUGAGCUCUGGCGUCUCUG